AUGCAUGCAUGAUGUGGGAGUGUCUUUUGUGCAGGUUGCCAAAGACGCGCUUUUUGGUGACUUGAUUUGAACUUUCUCGGCUACCGUACACUUCCGCUUCAGUGAGCAGCUAGCUCUUCAGGUUGUUACCUUUUGGGCUUUCGAACUGGAGGCUCCACGUCGGCUGCUGGUCGUCUAUCUGCAUAUCUCGAAAGAGAAAACAAUCACAACAAGUUGGAUGGCAAUCUGCUCAUUGCCGAGCGGUGGAGUGGUCGGCCAGAGGGACGAGCGGUGGAGUGGUCGGCCAGAGGGAUGAGUGUUACUCCAUGCCUGGACCCGAGACAAAAAGAGAUAGGUUGCUGAGGCAGUAACAAGGAAACUGAAGUGCUGCUGGUCUGUAGCUUUGUUCUGGUCCUCAGCUUCCGCUGCUAGCAGCAGCAGGCUCUUUAGGCAGCACGGAUUAGUAGUUGUGGCUGGAGACAAACUGUGGCAGGCUUUGCACUUUGUGGACCAGGAUUUGUCACCUCUGCCUGGAAAGAAAAAGGAACAUUGACACACCAAGUCCAUUUAAGUUUACUGGUUUUAUUUUUAACUGUAGACUGGAAGCAGCCGGUCGCUGGUGCACAGGCAGAGUUCCUAAAAUGUUAAAACUCCAGGGUGGACACCUGCACACAACACAAACAAGGGACCCAUCAAGCUGCUAUUUAGUACAUUUUAUUUGUGCGUCAACUCUGAAAUUGGAGGCAGUCUUAAAGAACCUCUGCAUGGUUUUGAGGGCUUUUACCUUUGGCCAGCAGGUGGCAGAUUUUCCAACUGCAUCCUUACUGGAAAGUGCUCUGCAGGAAGAGGGAGGGAUAAAAAAAAGCACCUAAGUGCUUUUAAACAAUGCCAAGUUUGUCAUAAGUUGUCACCUGUCAGCAGGCCAGACAGGAGGUUGAUUCCACAGGUUAAAACCUUGUAGAUCCACACCAGUAGAUCCAUGCUGCAGAAACUAGGUCCUUUGGCCCCACCUGGUGGACAAAAGGAAAAACAAGCUGAAAUGUUUGACGUUCUUAAAGAACCUCUGCAUGGUUUUGAGGGCUUUUACCUUUGGCCAGCAGGUGGCAGAUUUUCCAACUGCAUCCUUACUGGAAAGUGCUCUGCAGGAAGAGGGAGGGAUAAAAAAAAAAAAAAAAGCACCCAAGUGCUU